GACGAACGCUGGCGGCGUGCCUAAUACAUGCCAGUAGAACGCUGAAGGAGGAGCUUGCUUCUCUGGAUGAGUUGCGAACGGGUGAGUAACGCGUAGGUAACCUGCCUGGUAGCGGGGGAUAACUAUUGGAAACGAUAGCUAAUACCGCAUAAGAGUAGAUGUUGCAUGACAUUUGCUUAAAAGGUGCAAUUGCAUCACUACCAGAUGGACCUGCGUUGUAUUAGCUAGUUGGUGAGGUAACGGCUCACCAAGGCAACAAUACAUAGCGGACCUGAGAGGGGGAGAGGCCACACUGGGAAAGAGAGACGGCCCAGAGUCCUACGGGAGGCAGCAGUAGGGAAACUUCGGCAAUGGACGGAAGACUGAGCGAGCAACGCCGCGGGAGUGAAGAAGGGUUUCGGAUCGUAAAGAUCGGUUGUAAGAGAAGAACGAGAGUGAGAGUGGAAAGUUCACAGUGUGACGGUAACUUACCAGAAAGGGACGGCUAAAUACGGG
rnacentral:rRNA from 1 species